rnacentral:lncRNA from 1 species
CGGAACUCAUUUAAGGGUUGGCAGUGGAGGUGAGGGGAUCUUCUGGGAGAUCCCUGCUUACUUGAGGUCUUCUGAAGCCUUUUUAGGAUGGUGAAGGGACAAUUCAGAAGAAAUACAAAAGAAAAGUGAAUGCCUCCAGGCUUCCCCUGCAGCAUCGUGUGGCACUGUGUCAUCUUUACAGAGAGGCUGGCCAGCAUCCCUGCACGGGGAUGUUUUGCCUGGAAAAUCCAUGGAAAACACUGGGAAUCAGAGGCCUGGAAAUCAGCCUAGGCUCACAUAGAAGACUGAGCAGGAGCUGCAGGCACCCACAUGGAGGGCAGAAAGCCUAUGCUCUAAGUGUGGGGAAAACGCACAAAAAUAUAAGGAACGUGCCAAUUGCUGUGAGAAAUGGACAAGAGUGAUGCUAAUAGAAAAAGGUGAAGUACUGCAAGAGAGGAAGCGCUGAUUACAGGCACAGCAGUGCAUAUAUUAACCUUAGGCUGUGUUGAAAAAUAUUCCAGCAACAAGUGCAAAUUCCUGCAUGGGCCAUUAGAAAGCUGCACCUUGCUCUUAUUGCUCUGGCUACAGAUGGACACGGUGAAAAUGUGAGCGCCUGGAGGUUGUCCCCUGUCUGAUGGGACAGACUGUCAUCACUUCUAUCCACUGCUGUCACAGAAUGGUGGGUCAGUAUUCCCCACAAGGCUGCCCCCAAGCAGAACACGCCAUCAGCAGUACCACAGUAUGAUGAAUUAACCAUGGGCUACGGUUAAUAAUGCAUUUGUCACAUUACCUUAUCACUGCUGUAGCUUGUAUCACAAUAAAUUAGUCAAAUCCUGACCUGCUUGCACGCAGCAGGAGUGAGGCAGUUCUCCUGCGUGAACACCUAGGGAUUUGCUCUCCGUUCCUUUAUGCCCAGGAAGGUGGG